CUGCUUCUGCUGAGGUGGCGAUUAGUGGUGUUAAGAGGAAAGGUAUCGCCGCUGCUGAGGUGGCGAUUAGUAGUGGUGUUAAGAGGAAAGGCGUCGCCGGUUUCUUGGAUCGGAUGAAAUCAAGCCCGUCUAAAAGUGGUUCUGUAGCGCCGAAAUUGAAGAACACAGGAAACAGUAGUGGUGGAAGAGUUUACCAAAACAAUAGAGGGAAAGGAAGUGGAAAGAAAGAGCAUAGAAGCUACCGUCAAAGGAGAAGGGAAAGCAGCAGCAGCAGCAGCAGCAGUAGUAGCAGCAGCAGCAGCAGUAAUGCCAGCACUAAACAGACUUCUCGGAAACCCAGUACUUUGAAGAAACGGAACGUUGGUCGACCGCCAAAGAAACC
rnacentral:lncRNA from 1 species